rnacentral:rRNA from 1 species
GAACGCUGGCGGCGUGCCUAACACAUGCAAGUCGAGCGGUAACAGGUGUAGCAAUACAUGCUGACGAGCGGCGGACGGGUGAGUAACGCUUGGGAAUCUGCCUAUUAGUGGGGGAUAACUCGGGGAAACUCGAGCUAAUACCGCAUACGCACUACGGUGGAAAGCUGGGGACCGCAAGGCCUGGCGCUAAUAGAUGAGCCCAAGUCGGAUUAGCUAGUUGGUAGGGUAAUGGCCUACCAAGGCGACGAUCCGUAACUGGUCUGAGAGGACGACCAGUCACACCGGAACUGAGACACGGUCCGGACUCCUACGGGAGGCAGCAGUGGGGAAUAUUGGACAAUGGGCGAAAGCCUGAUCCAGCGACGCCGCGUGGGUGAAGAAGGCCUGCGGGUUGUAAAGCCCUUUCAGUGGGGAAGAAAAGCCUCGAGUGAAUACCUCGGGGUCUUGACGUAACCCAUAGAAGAAGCACCGGCUAACUCUGUGCCAGCAGCCGCGGUAAUACAGAGGGUGCGAGCGUUAAUCGGAAUUACUGGGCGUAAAGCGCGCGUAGGCGGCUUUGCAAGUCGGAUGUGAAAUCCCCGGGCUCAACCUGGGAACUGCAUUCGAGACUGCAUUGCUAGAGUAUGGGAGAGGGAAGUGGAAUUUCAGGUGUAGCGGUGAAAUGCGUAGAUAUCUGAAGGAACAUCAGUGGCGAAAGCGACUUCCUGGACCAAUACUGACGCUCAUGUGCGAAAGCGUGGGGAGCAAACAGGAUUAGAUACCCUGGUAGUCCACGCCAUAAACGAUGAGAACUGGAUGUCGGGAGGGUUCUGCCUCUCGGUGUCGUAGCUAACGCGUUAAGUUCUCCGCCUGGGGAGUACGGCCGCAAGGUUGAAACUC